AUGAUAUGGAGGAUAGGAAACGGAGCUUCGGUUCGGAUAUGGCGGGACAACUGGAUCCCUCGCUCAUCAACGCUUAAGCCACUUAGCCCCCGAGGCCGCUCUCGCCUAAACCGAGUCUCUAGUCUGCUGGAUCAACACGGAGUGUGGGAUGAAUCAAAAAUUCGAGCGACUUUCGCCCCGAUUGAUGUGGAGGCCAUCUUGCGGAUUAGAACAUCGCCACGGCAGGAAUCAGAUUUCUUGGCAUGGAAUCCUGAAAAAAACGGUAUCUUCACCGUGAGAAGUGCUUACAAGCUGGGUAUGCGUCUCAAGGAUCAGGCGAUGAGCUGGGCAUCUUCUAGCGCACAGCCGGACGGUCAGCGGCAAGUAUGGAAGCAACUAUGGAAUCUUCCUAUACCACCCAAGGUCCGGACGUUUGGCUGGCGUGCUAUGUCAAAUGCUCUUGCAACUGAAGUGAACAAGAAGUACCGGGGCAUCCGGGUGACUGGCUACUGUCAGAUUUGCGGCCAUGCAAAAGAGGAUCUCCGGCAUGCCCUGUACUUCUGCCCGCAUGCGUAUGCCCUUUGGAAUGCCAUGCAGGAGGUGUGGCGCUUACCUUCACAUGCAACCAUGCAGCAGCUGCCACCGGACUGGAUCCCUGAACUCGUCACCUCGCUGCCUGCGGAUGAAUGUGCGCGUGUCCUAAUGGUGCUAUGGCGCGCAUGGCAUUCCUGGAAUAAGGUUACUCAUGAUAAGCCGCUGCCAACUAUUGAAGGAUCCCGUCGCUACCUAUGUUGUUACAUGCGAUCCCUGAAGCUGAUCCAGACCGAGUCCGUUGAGAAAAUUAUUAAAGGAAAAGGGAUUAUGGAUGGACCUCCUCUGCCGGUGCAGCCAAUGGUACAGUCGGAUGAGCCAAUUCCUUGGGCAAAACCACCAGCUGGGGUGGUCAAAUUAAAUGUGGAUGGCUCCUUCAUCCCCGCGACAGGGGUGCCGGGCGCCGGAAUGAUACUGAGAGACUGGAUGGGUCAGAUAAUUUUCUCGUCUUGCCGCGUCCUCCAUCGCUGUAGUUCGGCCCUAGAAGCUGAGAUGAGUGCAUGCCUGGAAGGAAUUAAUCUGGCGAUGCAGUGGAGUGCACAUCAGUUUGUGGUGGAGUCUGAUUCAGCGGAGCUCGUUGCUAUGGUUAAUAGUCCCAGCCGGGAUGGCUCUGCUCUCUGCCAGCUUGUGGGUGAGAUCAAGCAUCAUAUGGCGUCAGACCGGUGUACAAGCCUGAAAAAGAUACCCCGAGCCCAGAACCAUGCGAGCCACCUGCUUGCAAAAUUCGGCCGUGAAGAGAAUCGUACUGUGGUAUGGUUAGGAGCAGGUCCUGAAUCUAUUCAAGACCUCAUCCUCAGGGAUUGUAACAUUUCUUAUACUUAA
rnacentral:rRNA from 1 species